rnacentral:rRNA from 1 species
UUGUAGGAGAGUUUGAUCCUGGCUCAGAGUGAACGCUGGCGGCGUACCUAACACAUGCAAGUCGUGCGAGAAACC